CCCUUAGAUGUCCUGGGCCGCACGCGCGCUACACUGAGUGUCUGAGAUACGAGUCUGCCUGGUCCGGCAAGGUCUAGGUAAUCGCUAAAAGACACAUCAUGCUUGGGAUAGAUUAUUGCAAAUAUUAAUCUUGAACGAGGAAUUCCUAGUAAGCGCAAGUCAACAGCUUGCGUUGAUUACGUCCCUGCCCUUUGUACACACCGCCCGUCGCUACUACUGAUUGGAUGUUUAAGCGAGGCUCUCGAACUGCUAGCGACUUAGCUUCGGUGAGGUCGCAGUGUGGGAAGUGAACCUAGCUUUGGUGUCUAGAGGAAGUAAAAGUCGUAACA
rnacentral:rRNA from 1 species